GGAAGAGCUACCAAGCCAGGGUGCACAGAUCAGCCACAACCCUCUGUCUAUCUAUUCCAUGCGCCGAACAAAUGCAACAGCCCAAAGGAUUUCUCGGUGAGAUGCCGACACUUACCUCUCAGGACACUGCCCCAGUCCCUGCCUCGAUGGAAUAUUGCACACAGCACCAACAGAUUGCCAUUGCAGGCAUUGGAUGACCCCAGACAGCAAAGCAGACUUUCCCACACUGUAAUACUACAGUAUCUGGGACGGCUCCUGUAUCACUACUUGUUCACAACAUGCAUACUCAAAUAUGUGUUCCAGACAGUUAAACAACCACUCUGAGCAAGUACUGAAUUGAUCCUUCCUAUUAUUAUUAUCCCUUUACACUCUCACCAGUUAUGCUCUCCUUAACACAGGUUAAUAUAAUCCUAUAGCACACAGUGCUCAUGAUCAAUC